rnacentral:lncRNA from 1 species
UCCUCUCCCCUUAUGCCCUAUCACUAGUGAUUACUCCCAAUCCAAAGCACCCCUUUUUCCAUUUGGGGGGUAAAUACUCCACAAUAAGGGGUUUGAGGAGGGUACGGUUUGAGAAUUUCAAGCUGAGUGCUACAAGGUGCAAGAUUAGGAUCAUGAAGUGGGUGUCGGAAGCCGGAAUCCUAUAAUAUAAAAAGGCACAAUGGUGAA